UACGGAGGGUGCUAGCGUUGUUCGGAAUUACUGGGCGUAAAGGGCGCGUAGGCGGCCGUUUGCGUCGGAUGUGAAAGCCCGGGGCUCAACCUCGGAACGGCAUUCGAUACGGGACGGCUGGAGACCGGGAGAGGAGAGUGGAAUAGCCAGUGUAGAGGUGAAAUUCGCAGAUAUUGGCUGGAACACCGGUGGCGAAGGCGGUUCUCUAGUACGGUACUGACGCUGAGACGCGAAAGCGUGGGGAGCGAACAGG
rnacentral:rRNA from 1 species